AACCCAUGGUGAGGGCACUCUCUUCGGUACUCCUUGUACCUCUCCCAAGCUUCGCAGAAAGCUUCGCCAGGUUGCUGUUUAAACGACGAGAUCUUGUUCUUCAGAGC
rnacentral:snoRNA from 1 species